rnacentral:rRNA from 1 species
UACGAAGGGGGGCUAGCGUUGUUCGGAAUUACUGGGCGUAAAGCGCGUGUAGGCGGGUCUUUUAAGUCAGGGGUGAAAUGCCAAGGCUCAACCUUGGAACUGCCUUUGAUACUGGAGAUCUUGAGUCCGGGAGAGGUGAGUGGAAUUGCGAGUGUAGAGGUGAAAUUCGUAGAUAUUCGCAAGAACACCAGUGGCGAAGGCGGCUCACUGGCCCGGAACUGACGCUGAGACGCGAAAAGCGUGGGGAGCAAACAGG